rnacentral:rRNA from 1 species
CCUACGGGAGGCAGCAGUGAGGAAUAUUGGUCAAUGGACGAGAGUCUGAACCAGCCAAGUAGCGUGAAGGAUGACUGCCCUAUGGGUUGUAAACUUCUUUUAUAUGGGAAUAAAAUGUUCCACGUGUGUGAUUUUGUAUGUACCAUAUGAAUAAGGAUCGGCUAACUCCGUGCCAGCAGCCGCGGUAAUACGGAGGAUCCGAGCGUUAUCCGGAUUUAUGGGGUUUAAAGGGAGCGUAGGUGGGUUGUUAAGUCAGUUGUGAAAGUUUGCGGCUCAACCGUAAGAUUGCAGUGGAUACUAGCAGACUAGAGGAAGAUAGAGGUAGGCGGAAUUCGUGGUGUAGCGGUGAAAGGCGUAGAUAUCAGGAAGAACAACGAUGGAGAAGGCAGCUUACUGGAUCGAAACUGACGCUGAGGUACGAAAGCGUGGGUAGCAAACAGGAUUAGAUACCCCGGUAGUC